CUGGUGCUGGUGCUGGUGCUGCCUCUGGAACUGGAUCUCGUACUGCAUUUUGUUGCCGUCGACGUCGUCUUCGUCGUCGUCCUCCUCGUCGUCGUAGUCGUCCUCGUCGUCCUCGUCCAUGUUGUCGCUGUCGCCGCCGCCGUCCGUUCGGCCGAAGGCGUUGUUCGCCGCCGCCGCCGCCCCCGCCUGCGGCUGCCUCUGCUCCAUCAUCUCCUUCAUGAUGUCCUCUGGCUUUAAAUGCGCAGCGUUACGCAAUCAGCAUUGGAUCACCAAAAACGAACAGCACCGUACCACGACGUACGCGCCAAAUCUAAUCUCUACGGCCACACGGAGAAUGCACACGACGCCGUGCCUAGCUUUAGCUUACCUUCUUCGCCGCCGCGCCGCUCAAGAACUUGUUGCCGGCGGCGACGCUGN
rnacentral:lncRNA from 1 species